AUUGAACGCUGGCGGCGUGCUUAACACAUGCAAGUCGUACGCGAAAGGGACUUCGGUCCCGAGUAAAGUGGCGCACGGGUGAGUAACACGUGGAUAAUCUGCCUCUAUGAUGGGGAUAACAGUUGGAAACGACUGCUAAUACCGAAUACGCUCAUAAUGAACUUUAUGAGGAAAGGUGGCCUCUGCUUGCAAGCUAUCGCAUAGAGAUGAGUCCGCGUCCCAUUAGCUAGUUGGUGGGGUAACGGCCUACCAAGGCAACGAUGGGUAGCCGAUCUGAGAGGAUGAUCGGCCACACUGGAACUGAAACACGGUCCAGACUCCUACGGGAGGCAGCAGUGGGGAAUAUUGCGCAAUGGGCGAAAGCCUGACGCAGCGACGCCGCGUGAGGGAUGAAGGUCUUCGGAUCGUAAACCUCUGUCAGAAGGGAAGAAACUAGGGUGCUCUAAUCA
rnacentral:rRNA from 1 species